rnacentral:lncRNA from 10 species
CUCGGAUUCAAGCUGCUGGCGGGAAGUGCGCUAGGCGGAGCUGUGGUCUAGCGAGAGUCCCUGUUUCCCCCUUUUCUUCCUUUUCACAGGAUCUCACCCCAUAAAACCCUGUCUUACCAUUCAAAUUGUCUGUAAGCCUGAAUUUUCGCGGCCCUAAGACAAAGAACCUUGUCUUUCACUGAAUUUAAAAAAAGUCCUGCAACAUUUUUGGUGCACAACGUGGGGGUUCGAGAAGCGAUUUUCUGGUCAGAUUAAGCCAAGUAAAAUGAACUUAACUCAAAGCCUUGAAGACAGAAAAACUUAUAAAAGUACAGCCUGCAGUAUUCUCAUUCAGAAAGAACAACAGGGCAAAAGACCUGAAGAAGGAGCAUACUGCGGUUUUCAGAAUACCAUCGAGGAGGAGAGAGGUCUGCUGGAGUUUGCUGAGGGUCCACUGCAGACCUUGUUUGCCUGGGUAUCACCAGUGGAGGCUGCGGAACAGCAAAGAUUGCUGCCUGCUCCCUGCUCUUGAAGCUUCAUCCCAGAGGAGCGCCCACCAGAUGACUGUCGGAGCUCUCCUGUAAGAGGUGUCUAUUGACCCCUGCUGGGAGGUGUCUCCCAGUCAGGAGGCAUGGGGGUCAG